GAGCCGGGCACAGCAGGUAAAAGCCCCCGGGGCGCUGCCUGCCACGCUCGCUGCUGCCGCCGCCGCUCCCCCGCAGCCCCGCGCUGGCGGAGCCGGGACCGGGAGGCGGCGAGGGGCGGCCGGGGGGCGGAGGGGGCGGCGCUCGCUGCCUGCCUCCCGCCCGCCCGCUCCCCUGCACCGGGCACGGACGGCAGCCGGGCGAGCGCCGGCGGCGAGGGGGGGCCCCCCUUGCACACACACACACCCCCUCCCAAAAUCGCACCCGCGGCGCCCAUUGGCUGCGGGGACCUUGACGUCAGGCGGCGGGUGAAGUUUCGGAGGGGAAGGAGGGGGGAGUGCGGGGCUGCGCUGGAGCCGGGGGGUCCAACCGCUGGGUGGGUGACCCCCCUCGCCCCUUACUCCCCCCAAGAAGCUCCGUGUUUGGGGCCGGAGCCCGCGGCCCCGAGCCGGCCCCCGGCGCCCCCACGCCGCGGCCCCGAGUUGGGCUGCGGGGGGCUCGGGGCUUCCUCCGCCUUUUGUUCGCCCCGUCCGCACUCCCCGAGUUCCCUCUGGCGGCCGCGGGCGGACACUCACCGCCCGGCCCCGCGCUGCCCCCGCGCAGGUGGCCCCCUUCACCCCUCCACACCUUCAUCCCUUCAUCAGAGGCUGAAGGCAAGAGAGGUUUUGGGAAAGAAGGGCAGUCACCCCAUAGGUCCCGCUGGGGUUUUACCGACGGGCUGCUCAGCACCUUGUAGCCAAAGUGUGUUAAAAACCACACAAACACAGGGUGCCCUAAAAGUCUGUAGAUAUUUAGAGAUUGCUUGGAAGAGCAGGAGUCCUGGGAGACACGCAAAUCAGCAUUUUCCCGAGCCAAGUCGUAAGACCAUUAACAGGAUGAAAAAAGUAAAGCUGCUGUAUACAAGUCACAAAACCCGUCUCAAAAUACUGAGUUCCUUACUUUGCACACCUAAAGACAGUUCCAAAGGCAAACUUACGCAUAAUGCAUUGCUAAUAAAGAUACUGCACGGAGAACAGUUGUUCUGCCUCUACAUCACCAAAGAGUGGCCCAUUACAGUGGAGGUGAGGCUUUGCUCCUGUGGAUAG
rnacentral:lncRNA from 1 species